CGAGAAGUUGCGCAUUUCGGGUACCCAUAGCGGUGAGAUAUCGGUAGCAGACAGCCCUUUUUCUGAGGAACUCUGUUUGGAUAGAAAGCUCCGCUGCCAUCCCUGACUCCAAGGGCAAGCCUAUCCUUUUGUCUUCACUUCUAUGUUGAGCGCUGUUUGUUUCGUUUUUAUGUCCGUGUUUAAUUUGGGAACCUCCGGUCUGUGCUAGUGCUGGGUGUGUGGCUGUAUCUGUUUGAAUACUUGUGAAAUCAGAAACAAUGGAACACUUGAAACAAUGCAACGAAUUGGACUGAAACCGUAGGACACUUUUCCCAUUAACUGGGGUUUGACUUCAUUGUGUUGAGCUCCUGAGUGAGGGAGCUGCGGACGGAACAGACAGACGUAACACCAGAAGUGUUGAGAGAAGGGAAAAUAACAGAGAAGCAUCAUGCUAGCAAACCUGAUUAUUGUCACUGGGUUCACAGAACUUCUUCAAUCAAUACUUUGCACGCACAACAGCAACCAAUCCCGUACCUGCAACUGCCGAGUCAGCCAAUCACAGCCUGUCAGCUCGACUGGAGCGCAGACAGCAUGUUUCAACAACAACAAACCGAGACACACACA